CAUAGGUGCGUUCAUACAAUACGUAUCUUCUCAUCCAGACGAUCCAUGACUAAUUCAUGAAUUAACAAAUAGAACUUCGAGGUCGUGGCGACAAUUAUAGCAGAUUGCACAUCGUGUAUCAAAUAGCCUGCUUUAAUUUUUCGAUGCCGGCUAUCCUCUUCCUGGAGAGUCUGGUGCGGAGAAAUUGCAGACGGCUCAUGCAGGAGAGACAAAGACAUCGUUGAUGGACAAACACGCGACUUUGCUCGUAUAUUUUUAGUCCGACGCUAUAUCUCCUCGUGCUCCUUUUAUAAAUACUUGUAAUACUCUCAUUUUGAUUUGAAAAAUUCGCAAUGCAAAAUUGCGACUCUGUGCUUUCCUAGACGAUCUUCCAUCGCACGACCUUGGAAGGUCGGGUAUUUCGAUUUGCGUCGCCGCCAUGGUGUCUGAGAGAACUCGCAAAAGAAAUGUGGUGAUGUCAUACAAAACUGCGUAGUUACUUUCAGUCCCACACCAUAUUACGUCACUAAAACUCCUACUCCAUUUUUCGCCGAAUCAACAUCGCCUCUUCAUUAUAUUCGAAAACAAGCUCGACAAGCGGGUCAGUUUCACGGUGCAAGCACAAAAUGCCGUUGCAAAUCUUUCAAGUGAUAUUCGAUCGUGCGUCUGCUACGUACGCAACCGGGGAGACGGUCACGGGAAAAAUUGCACUAGGUAUUGACCAUCCAAAAGUUGUCAGAGGAAUGCACGUAGAAGUAAAAGGCGAAGGCCGUGUUCACUGGGUAAAUAGGGACAAACGAGAACUUAUCCCUAUACACACCAACUCGGAGACGUAUUUGAACCUAAAUUUCGACAUCUUAGGUACCCAGACAUUUAAUUCACGAACAGAAAUAAAAGAAGGAUAUCACGAAUAUCGAUUCAGCUAUCCAUUGCCCAAAAACAUACCCAGCACUUUUAAGGAUACGAUCGGUAGCGUCGCGUACACGAUGAAAGUGGUAAUCGACAGACCAUGGAAGUUCAAUCAUGUACACGAGAGUACGUUUACCGUUGUCUCUCCGCUGGCUUUGACCGACUACGAUGAGCAGUGCGUACCCAUCGACGAGGACGAUCAGGUGAAUUUCUAUGGCUUCUGCUGCUGCUGCCACCAGGGUGCGUUGAAUCUUGAAAUCAAAGUACCAACUACAGGGUACAUUCCAGGACAAACGAUAUAUACGACGAUAAACUACGAAAACGGCUCGAGAAGUGUAGAAAUGACAAAGGUCAGGGCGCAACUCAAACAAAAAGUCAAAUACCAUGCACAAUUUCCACUGCGCAAGGUCAAAAAGAUGGAGUACGUAGUCAAAUCGACUAAACUUUACCCACCCUUUCAUAAGAAAGGACAGGUUGUUCUAGAUCUUUUAAUAUCACCCACACCACCAUCUUAUAUGCAACACUGCAAUAUCAUAGACGUGAAAUACGAGUUGGAGCUCACCAUUAACGUUACGGGGUCGCACUUCUGUAUCGACAAGAGUUAUCCAAUCUUAAUCGGAACAACAGACAUAAACCAAAUGACAGAGCAUCUAUCAUUGUCAUUUCCAUUGACGGUGGCGGGUGAGCAAUUGCCGCUACCAGUGGCAACGGAAUUACUAAGUGCAUUAGUAACCACCAGUGAACUCUAUGCUUCACCUGAUGGUCACGUUAAAACGCAUACUUUUGAGCCUUCAACUCAUCAUGAUCACGGGCCUUCAACUCAUCAUGGUUACGAGCCUUCGACUCAUUAUGGUUACAAGCUUUCGACUCAUCAUGAUUGCGAGCCUUCAAAUGAUUAGGAUUGCGACCCUUGCGACGUUGAUUAAUGAAUCAACGGACAAAGACUCGGCGUGGAUCAAAUUGUGUGAUGUAUCUACCGAAACGUUUAAGAACCACAUUUUAUUACAAAUACGUAUUUUAAUUGUGUGUAUAAUACGCUUGUAUUUUGAAGUUAAUAAAUGUUUUAUAAGAAAAAUUCCAGCUGAAGUUAGAAGAAGAAGUAAGGGAGAAGCAACGGUUUUACUAAAAUGAUAUAUAUUUACACAAUUUAUUUCAUAUUUCAACAUCGUCAUAUUGUAAUCAUAAUCAUCAUCGAGUCAUAUUAUAAUUAGCAAAGAAAGAAAAAAGUAUAGAAAGGGUAACACCGUCGUGAAAAUUGAGAACAAGAGUAGAAUAUCAUGAAAGUAGGAGUAUAAAAGGAAUGAGAGAUUCGUCGGUAACAAUUCGGCAACCAAUAGAUCGCAAAUCGGUCGUUCUCAAAAGUGCAGAUACAAAAAAAGAGAGUAAAAGAAAGCAAAAUUAUCGAAAAACGUGUAUGUACGCAUCUAUUCAACGUAAUCGAGAGAAAACGCGAGGAAAGCUUAUCAACGAACUUAUCUCGAAUCCAUCGCUCGUAUAUAAACAUUUUCUAUUCUAGGUGUAUAUUAGGUGAACUUGACGCUUUAGCAAACACACACGGUACGAUUUGCGUUUCAACCACCAAAUGCCCGAUGAACGUGUCAUUGUAGGAACUGAAAGCAACCAUCUUAAAUGUUAAAGGCUGACUUAAAUACUGUCAACGAACACGGAUCUUUGCUUUUCUUUUUUUCUAUGCAAUUUGUCGGAUGUCUGUGCAAGAUACACCUUCGACUAUUCUAUUUCUUUCGCGAGAAUAAAUUUGUCAAAAUCGAUAACAAUAUACGCUUUUACUAUUGUUUCUCUUAUUAGUGGAGGCUCGAUAGUUGCCCGCUUUUGGGGCUCCGCAGCUGAAUUUUUCGAAACUUUCCUAUAAUUCUAUGGCGGGCAAUUAUCGAGCGGUGAAAUAUGGAAGCUCUCAAAUACGAUUCUACAAAUAAUCUUCCGUUAUUAAAUAUAAAAAAGAAAUAUGCGGCCGUCAAAAUGUUAGCGAAGACCGAAUAAAAAGUCAAUUUCAAUUGUAUCUUUAAACCAUAACGUUUGUUACAACUGGUCCCAUUUCGUAUAUUUAUCGUUUUUAGAUGCAACAAACGUUGUUUGUUAAACGUUAUACAAAAGCAAAGUUACGCUCGAUCAAUUAUAUACAUUGAACGCAAUAUUCGUGAGAACAUCCGACGUUUGAGUUAAAUAAAUACGGUACGACGAUUGAUUUACAUCGAUUUGUUUUCCCAGCGUUUCUAGUAUAUCGGAGACAACAAACGGAUAAUCCUGAACUGGCAUUCGGUGUCGUAGUACUCGUGUUUAUUUUAAAUACGAGGUUAGAAACCAUCGAACGAAAUGAUAUGCUUAAUUCUUUUUCGUGUACGAACGUAUAAUUUCGAUAUAAGGAAGAAAAAAAUAAAACCAAUAGAACCAGGAACUGAAUAUAUUCAAAAGCGAGAAAGAAAAACAAAUCGGAAGGUAUAAUCCGCGAGUUCGUAAGAAACAAAAUACACUUCGAGAUGAGAAUAGCGAAAGCGUUUAAAAGUAAAAAGGAAAAUGAUCAAUUUGUGUGCGAUACACGUCGACGCAUGUAUUCUUGACUCGAUAAUGUUUCCUUACUUUUUUUCUUUAAAACUCUCUGAUUAUCCUGAUUCAUCGGGAGGGGAAAGGAACUGUGCGCUCCGACUUUACAAAAAUUUGCAUCGCUUAUAUUACAAUAACCUUCCCUCGACUUAAGACAUUCAACCCUUAAUAUAUUAUUAUCAUAAAUAAAUUUGGUCUAUCGGUAAUAUUGUGAAUACGCCGGUACAAAUACUGGCAGUAUUUGGUUAAGUAAAAAAUCAUGAUCACUAGAAGAGGUAACUGGCACCGAAUGGAUCUGCGAUGUACGAAUCAACAGUUUUCGUUCCGAUUAAAAAUGUUCGGUGUUGAGAAACGACACGAUUCAUCGCUCCGCGUACGUUACACGCGAUUGCUUUUCAACUUCUUUAAAAACAUAAUAGAGUCAUUUUCAAAUAACUAUGACCGUCCCGAUUUUGUUUCCCUCCUCGAUCUAUUACAUGAACACCGUUCUCGUACUUUCGAUGAUCUAAAAGAUAACAGUACUCGUAACGAAAGAGAACAAUGUACGACACGCAUGUUACAACUUCCAGUAAACUUGAUUUAACAUUAUUCAAAGGGAUAAUCGGGGUGGCAUAGAUUCGUUCACGAUACGAUUGAAAUUUCUUGCGAGUCGAUACCAGAAAAUGUGUAUGCUCCUUGCAAAAGUUGCGAUAAAACAGACUGAUGCUAUACCACCUACGUUUGCUAUAAAAGAAAUGAUAAAGGUUUCACUCAGGUAGCGGAAGAAAUUUGAAUACCGCGUGAACGGAUCUACCACUCGCCGAUAGGAAAGUAUAGUGAGUCAGUAGAUUCAUUUUAAAAAACAGUAGUUGUAAAAGAUGUCUUUUAGCGUUUCCGUUAUGAUUCACAAAACUGUCUUGCAUAUUGUAAACUAUCGUGACCCACUUAUUACUUUUGCAGCACUUUGUUUUAAAAAAA
rnacentral:misc_RNA from 1 species